rnacentral:rRNA from 1 species
GAUGAACGCUGGCGGCGUGCUUAACACAUGCAAGUCGAACGGAAAGGCCCAAGCUUGCUUGGGUACUCGAGUGGCGAACGGGUGAGUAACACGUGGGUGAUCUGCCCUGCACUUCGGGAUAAGCCUGGGAAACUGGGUCUAAUACCGGAUAGGACGUUGUGCUGGAUGCUGUUGUGGAAAGAUUUUCCGGUGUGGGAUGUGCUCGCGGCGCAUCUGCUCGUUGGUGGGGUAUUGGCCUACCACAGCGUCGAGGGGGAUACGGCCUGUGAGGGUGUACGGCCACAUUGUGGGAGUGAUACAGCGCAGACUCCCACGGGGGACAGAAGAGGGGAAAAUUGUGCAAAGUGGGCAGGAGUGAGAUAGAGAAGCGGCGUGGGGGGUGAGGGCGUUCGGGUGGUAAACACCCUUCGCUAGGGACGAGGCGUGUGUGUGACGGUACCUGGUGAAGAAGCACCGGCUAACUACGUG